rnacentral:rRNA from 1 species
GACGAGCGGCGGACGGGUGAGUAAUGCUUGGGAAUAUGCCUUAUGGUGGGGGACAACAGUUGGAAACGACUGCUAAUACCGCAUGAUGUCUACGGACCAAAGUGGGGGACCUUCGGGCCUCACGCCAUAAGAUUAGCCCAAGUGGGAUUAGCUAGUUGGUGAGGUAAUGGCUCACCAAGGCGACGAUCCCUAGCUGGUUUGAGAGGAUGAUCAGCCACACUGGGACUGAGACACGGCCCAGACUCCUACGGGAGGCAGCAGUGGGGAAUAUUGCACAAUGGGCGCAAGCCUGAUGCAGCCAUGCCGCGUGUGUGAAGAAGGCCUUCGGGUUGUAAAGCACUUUCAGUAAGGAGGAAAGGUUAAGUGUUAAUAGCACUUAGCUGUGACGUUACUUACAGAAGAAGCACCGGCUAACUCCGUGCCAGCAGCCGCGGUAAUACGGAGGGUGCGAGCGUUAAUCGGAAUUACUGGGCGUAAAGCGUACGCAGGCGGUUUGUUAAGCGAGAUG